rnacentral:rRNA from 1 species
UACAGAGGGCCCAAGCGUUGUUCGGAUUUAUUGGGCGUAAAGGGCGCGUAGGCGGCGGUGUAAGUUGGGUGUGAAAUCCCGGGGCUCAACCUCGGAAUUGCAUUCAAUACUGCUUCGCUAGAGUACUGGAGAGGAGGCUGGAAUUUACGGUGUAGCAGUGAAAUGCGUAGAUAUCGUAAGGAAGACCGGUGGCGAAAGCGAGCCUCUGGACAGUUACUGACGCUGAUGCACGAAGGCCAGGGGAGCAAACGGG